GAUGAACGCUGGCGGCGUGCCUAAUACAUGCAAGUCGAGCGAACGGACGAUAAGCUUGCUUCUCUGAUGUUAGCGGCGGACGGGUGAGUAACACGUGUAUAACCUACCUAUAAGACUGGGAUAACUUCGGGAAACCGGAGCUAAUACCGUAGAAUAUUUUGAACCGCAUGGUUCAAAAGUGAAAGACGGUCUUGCUGUCACGUAUAGAUGGAUCCGCGCUGCAUUAGCUAGUUGGUAAGGUAACGGCUUACCAAGGCAACGAUGCAUAGCCGACCUGAGAGGGUGAUAGCCGACACUGGAACUGAGACACGGUCCAGACUCCUACGGGAGGCAGCAGUAGGCAAUCGUCCGCAGUGGGCGAAAACAUUACGGAGCAACGCCGAGUGAGUGAUGACAGUGUCGCGAGCGUAAAAACGUGUUAUUAGGGAAGAACAUAUGUGUAAGGAAAUGUGGAGAUCUUGACGGUAACUAAUAAGAAAGCAACGGCUAACUACGUG
rnacentral:rRNA from 1 species